rnacentral:rRNA from 1 species
CCUACGGGAGGCAGCAGUGGGGAAUAUUGGACAAUGGGCGAAAGCCUGAUCCAGCCAUGCCGCGUGUGUGAAGAAGGCCUUCGGGUUGUAAAGCACUUUCAGUGGGGAAGAAAGCCUUGGGGCUAAUACCCUCGAGGAAGGACAUCACCCACAGAAGAAGCACCGGCUAACUCCGUGCCAGCAGCCGCGGUAAUACGGAGGGUGCGAGCGUUAAUCGGAAUUACUGGGCGUAAAGCGCGCGUAGGCGGUCUGAUAAGCCGGUUGUGAAAGCCCCGGGCUCAACCUGGGAACGGCAUCCGGAACUGUCAGGCUAGAGUGCAGGAGAGGAAGGUAGAAUUCCCGGUGUAGCGGUGAAAUGCGUAGAGAUCGGGGGGAAUACCAGUGGCGAAGGCGGCCUUCUGGACUGACACUGACGCUGAGGUGCGAAAGCGUGGGUAGCAAACAGGAUUAGAUACCCCAGUAGUC